AUGACUGUGGAGGGAGGGGGGGGAGGGGGGGGAGAGGAAAAAAGAGGUGUGGCCUCCCCCCCCCCCCCCCCCAGCCGUUUAAAAGCAGGAGGUGGUCGUGCCGGCGUCCACUCGGUGACGUGCAGGCGAGCAGACAUGACGGCUGUGAGAGAACUGGUGCUGGUACUGGGCUUACUGGUGAGCGCCCACUGUGAGGUCAGAGCACGGGACCCCGAGGUGGAGGAGGACGAGGAGGAGUUGGGGGCAAAAGGAGGAGGCGGAGGAGGAGCAGCAGCGUCUCACCCCAUCUUCGAGGGGCUUCACCCGAGGGCGUCCGAGACGUCUCCUUUGGGAGACAGAGGGAACCACCCAGCCCGGACCGGGUCAAAGGUGAAGGUUGCUGUGAUCUCACGUCCGUCACAUCCUCGUAAACGUCCUCUCUCAGCAAGGCCUUCAGCGAGCAUCCUCUGGCACAACCGAGAGGUACUUCUGCUGUGACUCGAACCUCCUAAGCUCCUAAAAGAACACAACAACCAUCACAUUGCAGCCGUCACCUCGUCACAUUUCAGGUGUCAUUGUUGUGAGUUCAGCUGAAGAGGAAUGACGCCGCUGAACUUCUCACAUGGUUUCGUUUCAACAUUCAAAGACUCGAGAGGAGUCCAGAAACUGAAAACAGAUUUGACUAUCAGAACUUUCUCCUCGGUUCCUCUCUCAUCCAUCAUCUCAUGACCCUUCGGAUUUAUCUGCUGACCCUUUGCAUGGGCCUGAACACAUGUUGUGUUGUGCAGGUUGUGAGGGACGUGAGUUUGAUGGUCGAAGCAUAAAUCGUGGUCGUUAUAUUUUAGCUAUUAGCUUCAAAAGUACCACUUUAGAAUAAUGUGUUCAUUACUUUAAUGUUGAGCUCAUAUGAUUACUUUAAACGUUGCUGGGUAGUUUAUACAUAACAGCAAUCAUCAUGUGUGAGUAUUCAUCUCAAUUUAGACGUAGUUUUAACAAAAUGUAGCGCAGUUAAAAGAACAGUAUUUCUUCCCAAAAUGUCAUAGUUAAAUAUAGUUUAAAGGUACUUUAGAGAAGUUCAGUACUUUAAACAAAUGUACUUGAAUACCUUUCAGCACAUUAUUCUAAUGUUCAACUACAACUAAUAUUCAAAUGCACUUUCCAAAAAUAGUAAAAUGCUAAAUACUCAAAUAGUCCAGAUGAAGUUAGAACUUCACACACGCGCAGUCCUUCCUGUACGAAGCAGGGAGAGCUUAAAUGUUUUGACUGCCAACAUGCUUAUAAUAGGCUGGUACCACCCAGGCUGCUGCUGACACACACACACACACACACCCACACACACACACACACACACACAUCGGACCCAGACGCCAUACAUUCAUUUUAUGAUUUCAUGAGUCUCAGGCAGACUGCAGGUGUCCUCGUUGCGUUUGUCCUCCAGGUAUCAUUACAAAUUACAAACACGUGUCAUACCUGUACAAGGACGGUGUUUACCAAUAAAACACUAAAUAAUCCUCAGACAAUAAGGAACAACGGAGCUGAGUACUUCUUCUUACACUUACACUUAUACACUUAUACUUGAGCUGGCUUUGGUUUCGGUGAUUCAUUCUUCACCACAGACCAGCGUUGUUAUGGUUACGUCUUCAAGAGACGGCAGGAUAACGUCGCUUCAGAGGAAAUCACCGACUCCACCUGCAUGCACUCUACGUCUGCAGCCUCUCGGGUCAAUGUGUUGCAGAGAUGGCUGAAGACUUAAAGGUUCCGUAAAAACGAGAACACCAAGUAAAAUAAAUAUAAAAUGAGCUGGUUGGUGAAGUGACGUGUUGCAUUGAUGUGUUUCUGAGACCAAACGAGGCCUCCGUCGUCGUUCUUACCCACAUCCAUGCGUUAGACUGCAGGGCUCGUGCGCAGAUUUGCUGAUAAAAUGAUCCCUGAGGGUUCUUAACAAAACAACCCUCCAUUAGCCCCCCCCCCCCCCCCCCC
ensembl:lncRNA